UACAGAGGGGGCAAGCGUUGUUCGGAAUUACUGGGCGUAAAGGGCGCGUAGGCGGCCUGCUAAGUCGAACGUGAAAUCCCCGGGCUCAACCCGGGAACUGCGUCCGAUACUGACAGGCUUGAAUCCGGGAGAGGGAUGCGGAAUUCCAGGUGUAGCGGUGAAAUGCGUAGAUAUCUGGAGGAACACCGGUGGCGAAGGCGGCAUCCUGGACCGGCAUUGACGCUGAGGCGCGAAAGCCAGGGGAGCAAACGGG
rnacentral:rRNA from 1 species